UGUUCAUGUGACCGGUGCCUUAGUUUACAAUUCAACUCUCACUGAAAGAGUGUUCAUUCUGGUUGAAGGCUGUAGAAUGUGUACAAAAUGCUUCUGAUGGUACCUUGAUGCGUUCUUUGACGGGUCACAAUGAAUCUGUACCAAUUCACUUCUCAUUUGCUUUGAAGGGUUGCACUUGCAGGCAGACUUAAAAAGCUGGACUUCAAAAGUGGACAGAGCUAAAGACCAAAGAGGAUCACCACAAAGCGGAAAGUGCUAGUACUCUAUGACUUAUGAUUUAAUUUCAGAUGUUUAGUAUACUCGGGACCAUUAAAUGUAUCUGAUUGUCAAAUUUUUUAUUAUCAGUAGUGUAUUACCAUGUAUAUAUUGUGGAUGUCAUCGGAAAAAAAUGUAUAUAUUGUGGAUACAAGACUGAUGACCAGGAAGAAAAAAGGGGGAAAAAAAAAGUAAAAAAAAGCUCCAGUUUGGUGCCAAUUAAAAAUGGCACCAAUUUUUUUUUAUAAAUUUGGGGCAUGUUUCCCACUGUUGUUAGAGUUGCCAAUUAAAGAUAUAAUGGUGUAAAAGAUGAUGUGGCACCUGACAAAAGUGAUAUUAGAGAGUGAUGUGACAAACAUGUCAGUAUGGUUAAAAUAGCCCACCGAUAAUGUAUUUGUGCCCUAUGUUCCAAAGGAAACUGGGGCAAAGAGCACUGUCAAGGUUUGGGUGGCUGCAUAGUGGCUAAAGAAGAUUUUGGUGGCUUUUGUGAGUAAUGAGCACUCUUAUUGGAGGGUGUCCUUUGGCCAAUUUUCUAGUAGUGAUUAAUUGUUGCAUUUACUGCUGCCAUUACUUCUCUUUAAUUGCCUUGAUUGUAGGGUCAAAUUUGUUGACCACCCCCACAGGUGCCACAGUAUCUCGUACUCAUGACUAUCCAAAUGCAAGUACAUGGAGUAGGGUUGGUUGGCCUUGUACGUACGUAUCACUAUGAGAAAUAACUAGGCUUAACCUUAAAGUUAAA